rnacentral:rRNA from 1 species
UGGGGAAUAUUGCACAAUUGGCGCAAGCCUGAUGCAGCCCUGCCGCGUGUAUGAAGAAGGCCUUCGGGUUGUAAAGUACUUUCAGUCGGGAGGAAGGUGUCAAGGUUAAUAACCUUGGCAAUUGACGUUACCGACAGAAGAAGCACCGGCUAACUCCGUGCCAGCAGCCGCGGUAAUACGGAGGGUGCAAGCGUUAAUCGGAAUUACUGGGCGUAAAGCGCACGCAGGCGGUUGAUUGAGUCAGAUGUUAAAUCCCCGGGCUUAACCCGGGAAUUGCAUCUGAUACUGGUCAGCUGGAGUCUUGUGGAGGGGGGUAGAAUUCCAUGUGUAGCGGUGAAAUGCGUAGGGAUGUGGGGGAAUACCGGUGGCGAAGGCGGCCCCCUGGACAAAGACUGACGCUCAGGUGCGAAAGCGUGGGGAGCAAACAGG